AAAAAAUUCACGAUCACAUAACUUUGUUAUAAUUUGUUACAUAAUUUUUAAAAAACAAUAACUAAACAACAUUAUGUACUACGCCCUAUGUAAACUAAACUGAAAAAAUGUCUUAUAUUAACGUACAGAGGUAAUAUUUAUCAAGGAGAUCCUCCUCCGUCUUCAUGUAUUUUUAGAGGGAUAAUAAAAUAUUGGAUUGUUUUUAGAGAGAUAAAAAUAAUUAUUGAGCCUCGAUUGAAAAAAUGACAAAUAUAUUCAUGUAUUAAAAUUUAGAAAACAUAAAUCCAAUGAAAAAGGUGAUUUUUUUAAAAAAAAUAAACAUGCUAAUAUCACUCAACUUAGUCUAAGUCAACUGAAAUAUAACAACACCUUUACAAAUACUUUAAUUUUGGAUAUGAUUCAUGGAUGAUUCAUUUGUUGCCUACCUAGGCAGCUAGCUUGGUUUCUGCUUCAAGAACGCUAAUUAGCAGGUAAAGAAACUCAGCCGAGCGCUAGGCAUCGGGCAUCAGACGAACGGCCGGGCUGGAUUGAUCGGACUUUUGGUAAUUUUCUAGCCCAUAUCAAUAGACAGGGAGACGGUUCCCUCAGUUAGGCCCCUCACACCGUCACCUACCUACCCACCCACCGCUUCACCUCAAAAAAAAAUAAAAAAUCCCACCGGCCCUCACAUUUCUCCCCGUCGUUCCCCAUUCUUCCUUGGUCAUCGCCAGCUCCCUCUCCCCGCCUCCUCGGGCCACCCCUGCUCUUCCCCGCCUUUUCGUCGAAUCCGGUCGCCCAAGUGGCCGAGGAGGUCCCCAAGCUCGGCAUGCACGGGAGCAUCCCAGCGCUAGGCUCCGUUGGAGGUGCGAGACUUCCACGCCCCUGUUCUUCCCCGUCCUUCUUCGAAUCCGCUGGCCGAAGUGCCGAAGGAUGCGCUCGAUCUCAGCAUGCUCGCGGGCGACCCAGCGCGGAUGCCCGCAACAAGACAACAAGGAGCGGGCGUGGAUGCGCAAAAAUAUAUGGGCACAGUUCGAUGCCUCCACUGGCGUGCCUCUGUUUGAUGUGCUAUUCAAGAUCCCUGUACAAUUAUGUUAAUCAAGAUACAAUGGCACUCGAUGAUGAUUGCUAAGAAGGUCUGCAAUAUGCACUGGACUGUUGCUUGCCAGAUGACUGGAAGAUGGGUACUUCAUCCUCUCUUGUUUGUUCAUUCGAAGCAAGAUUAAUAAGAUUCAUGCAUUGUAAUGAAAACUGCAGAUUGAGCUAAACUCAACUGAUGGUGUAAUAUCUUUUCUAUGAGCAGCGGUAAUGGUAUCUUCUGUAGGAGUAAUAAGGCGUUGCUGCAUAAAUAUACUUGACUUUCAAAUGAGCGUGUCAAGAGGUUUAGUUUGUGUCGAUCCCUACUCUAAUUAUAUCUGGAUAUCUGGUUCCUGUACUAUUUGAAAUUUAACAAUCAGAUGUACAGAAUAACAGAAAUUUGCUAGAUAAGCUAACGUUACAAGGGGAAGUAAACAUUAAACAUUUCACAUAGUGAUUUGGAAUAUCUAAUAUUUCAUCAUCGUGUGUUUCCUAUUGUAGAUAAAUUUGCUUGCAGGGCUCUUGAUGAUAUAUCCACUUUCAUCAAAUGCUUAAGGGUAUGGUCAGUUGGAGAAGACAUUACUAUGACUACAAAGAUAUGUUUUUUCAGGUGAUGAAUUGUAACCUUAUAUUCUUUAUUACUUAGAAUUGAAAAUAGCAAUCCGUAAUUACUUCGGGGAGAAUCUUUUACUCUUUUCUGUCUUGCUCUUGUUCAGCAUAGGAUGUAUAUCAUUAUCACUAUCAUGGUGUAUUGUUGCCAUUGAGGAAUCUUCCCAUGUAGCAAAUUUACCUAGAAAAUACAAAACUUUGGCAUAUCACCAUCAGGUGCAGACGUACUCUUUCUCCCAAAUACUACAGCAGUAUCCCUACAAUCAGAUGUACAAAAAUUUGCUUGCUGAAAAACUAAUCAAUAAUCCAUGAAAUUUAACUGGAUUAAUUAAGGAUCAAGCCACUCACCUUGUGGCUACAAUCGACCAGAUUCAUCUCUCCAUGUUCCUGCAUGUGAAGAAUUGAUCAGUGCCCCAAGUCAAAACUACUGCAUACCUUAUACAUGAAGCCCUUACUCAAAAUUCAGAAAAUAUGCAGAAUAUCCAUUUUUAUUGACAUAGUUAUCUGCAGUCCUAGACAAAAUGUGACCAUAAUCCACACUACUACACAUGAAUUACUAUAUAGCUACCUUAUGGGGGCCUAUAUGCCUGAUCUUCAUAUCUUCUUGUUUGGCAAAGAGUUCACCAUUUGCACUUAGUCUUGAAUGGAGAAGAUUGCACAUGCUAUUGUACAACUGGGCAAUGGUGUGGAGCUCCAUAAGCGACGGCGGCGACUCCAGCUGUCCUUCUCGCCUAUGCAUCUCGACAAAGAAGCUUUAGAAACUAUAAUCUGUCUACUCCUUGUUCAGGAUCGGUAAUGAACAUAUCAUUACAUAAAUUAAUUUAACAAAACUGGAUUAUCUUUUUUGGUGAUGAAACUGUAGCAACAUUGGCACGGUUUUUGUCAAUACUACAAAAGCGGGGGAUAGUUGAUCGUUGGAAACACCAUUGACGCAGGCUUGACGCACAACUGGGUUAUAGAUCAAUCAUCUUCUCACUUCAGUAACACCAUGAUCUUGUACUUGCUUUUUGAAAAUCAUGGACGAACAACCGGUGAUCUGGUACCAAUUUUUGGCACAACCAUGAACUCCCAAAGUGAUUCACCAGAGUGCUUUAUGGUUUCUGACAGGUAUGCACAUAUAAGAUGGAUUUCUUCUGAACCGAUUGGAAGCAUAUGGCAACAUGGAGGUACACAAGCGCUAGCCUAAGCAUGCAGGUAAAUAUUAUAGACGCCUUGUUGAUGCAGGUGGAUGCAAUAUUCAUGACCGAGUGCAACGUCGGUGGAUCUGUAUCUUUGGGUUCAGAAUUUUGAAAGAAAGGGGAUAUGGGAAACAAUAAGAGGGGAGCUCUACCUCCAGCAGCACUUUCCUGGUCGUCGGUGUUGUGCUUCCAGCUACGCCCGCUGCGGACGAUGACGGGCAGCAGCAGCCGACGUCUUCUGGCGCGGCUGUGCACAACUUCCUGACAAGCACCGCGGAAUGGAUGCUCUGGAGGUCGCGUCCUCGAGUGCCUUGAGAUUUUCCUGCUACUGCUUGACGUACUUCAUGGUGUCUGAAAGGAUCAUCGCCUUGUCCAUCUGAGCGAAUUAGUUGGGCCAAUCAGUUAAGAAAUUUAUUUUGUUGGA